ACGGGAGGCAGCAGUGGGGAAUAUUGCGCAAUGGGGGAAACCCUGACGCAGCAAUACCGCGUGAGUGAAGAAGGUUUUCGGAUCGUAAAGCUCUUUUAUCAGGGAAGAGAAAAGACGGUACCUGAUGAAGAAGUCCCGGCUAACUACGUGCCAGCAGCCGCGGUAAUACGUAGGGGACAAGCGUUGUCCGGAAUGACUGGGCGUAAAGGGCGCGUAGGCGGGGUAAUAAGUCUGAUGUGAAAGGUCUCGGCUCAACCGAGGACAUGCAUUGGAAACUGUUACUCUUGAGUACUGGAGAGGCAAGUGGAAUUCCUAGUGUAGCGGUGAAAUGCGUAGAUAUUAGGAGGAACACCAGUGGCGAAGGCGGCUUACUGGACUGUAACUGACGUUGAGGCUCGAAAGCGUGGGGAGCAAACAGGAUUAGAUACCCUGGUA
rnacentral:rRNA from 1 species